CGGUGGUCCCACCUGACCCCAUGCCGAACUCAGAAGUGAAACGCCGUAGCGCCGAUGGUAGUGUGGGGUCUCCCCAUGUGAGAGUAGGGAACUGCCAGGU
rnacentral:rRNA from 3 species